GUCUGGUCUGCUCACUGAAAUUUUAUUAAAGAGCCGCGGUAUUUUGACCGUGCAAAGGUCGCAUAAUCAUUAGUCUUUUAAUUGAAGGCUGGAAUGAAUGGCUUGACGAGAAAUCAACUGUCUCUUAAUAAUUUUUUGAAUUUAACCUUUGAGUUAAAAGGCUUAAAUUUUUCUUUAGGACGAGAAGACCCUAUAGAGCUUGACAUUUAAUUUGUAUAUAUUUUUAUGAUGAUCUUUAUAUAUAUAAUGUUAAUGUUUUGUUGGGGUGACAUGCAGAAU
rnacentral:rRNA from 1 species